AAUAAUUUUUAUUCCAUUCCUCAGAGCCAAAUCAUCUGGUUUGUGUGCUGAGUCCAAAAAACACUGCUGCAUAUUUUCCCCAAGGAGCAAGCCAGGGAGAGGCAAUCUGAAAGAUCACAGUAGGUUUGAGGGUAAAAGGGAUGACUUGGGCAGAGAAUGGAAAUUAACAAUUGACCACAUUCAUAAUGUUGAGAAGGAUCUGGACUAUGGCUCAUGGUUAAGAAUGGAAUGCACUGGGGCUCCUGGGUGGCUCAGUCAGAUUGCAUGGUUCUGCUACACUUGCUUUGACAGAUGGGACCCAAAGACUUUUAUGAAUGUAAGAAGAGGAGACUGAAGAAGUGAGGCCAGCCCAAAAGUCCAUUAAUGGAUGAAUGGAUAAACAAAAUAUGAUACAUCCAUAUGAUGAAAUAGUAUUCAUCCUUAAAAAGGAAUGAAGUAGUAAUACAUGCUAGAAUGUGGAUAAAUCUCAAAACCAUGCUAUGUGAAAACAAGCCAGACACAAAUUCACAUAUUGUAUAUCCCACUUAUAUGAAGUAUCCAGAAUAGAUAAAUCCAUAGAAACAGAAUGCAGAUUAGUGGUUGUCAGGGGCUGGGGAAAUGAGGGAACUGCUUAAUGGUUAUGGGGUUUCUUUUUGGAGUGAUGGAAAUGUUUUGGAACUAGAUAGAGAAGGUAGUGAGUGGUACAACAUUGUGAAUGUACUCAUUGCUACUGAAUUGUUCACUUUGAAAUGUUUAAUUUUAUGUUAUAUGAAUUUCAACUUAAUAAAUAAAAAAGAAAGGCUAAGCAGACCCAACAGGGCUCAACCAAAGGAGAAAGGAGCAGAAUGGGGGAAGUAGAAUUGUCCAGUUUUUAAAAUGGUAUUUCUAGGCACCUGAGUGGCUCAGUGGGUUAAGCAUCUGCCUUUGGCUCAGGCAUGAUCUUAGGGUUGUGGGAUUAAGCCCAGUGUCUGGGCUGCCUGCUCAGCAGGAGUUGCUUCUCUCUCUUCUUCUGCUUCUCCUCCCACUCAUGCUCUCUCUGUCUCUGUCUCUCUGUCUCUCUCAAAUAAAUAAAUAAAAUCUUAAAAAAAAAUCCUGUGUCUCGUGGAGUGCUGAGAGUUCUGAGGAGCUUUGUUGGGGCCAUGGGAGAAGGGAUGGAAAGCAGAUGGGGCCCAGGUCUCCCAUCCUCUCCUGCAUUAAUCAAAGUUAGCCAUAACUAGUGAUCAUUGGGGACAUUUGGAACUCUUUGGGCUGGGCAGCAGGCCUGGGAGGAGUGCUCAAAGACUGAGAAAACAUGGUUCUUGCCUCAAAAAAUGAGCUGUGUGUGACCUGAGUGAAUUAUUUAAUGUUUUAUUUCCUCAGUUUUCUCAUCUGUAAAAUGAGGGGCUAAAAGUUCAGUUUCUUUCAUAGGGUUGCUCUAAAAAUCAGAUGAGAUGAUGUAUUCAAAGUUGCUAGCACAUAGAACGUGUUCAUUAAAUGGUGGCAAUUAUUUAAGAUUGAUUUUGGAGAGAGCGCUGCAUGAGCAGGGGGAGCAGCAGAGGGAGAGGGAAAGAGAAUCCUCAAGUAGAUGUCCCACAGAGUACAGAGCCUAAUGCAGGGCUCAAUCCCAGGAUCCUCAGACCAUGACCUGAGCCCAAAUCAAGAGUUGGAUGCUUAACUGACUGAGCCACCCAGGAGCCCCUAAAUGGUGGCAAUUACUAGUUUUAGCUCUCCACAGGCAGGCAUCUUCUAUUGGAUUGUCCUUCUGCCUUUCCCAUGUAAAGACAGGGGCUAAUUUAGGCUCUGCCAGGGAUGUCUCCUCUUCUUUCACUGGGUAAGUUAGUAUCUAUUCUUUAGUUUUUAGGUUUAUAUCAAAAGCUGUCAUGCCUCUGGCCAUAGGACAUGAGGAUGGUUCACCUUCAAGGCCAGCUGGAGGUUAGACCUGAGUGAUGACACCCAGUGUUACAAUCAUGUGUGACUAGCUGGCAUGAGGAAGUGACUAGUCAAAUGAAGAAGUGCUUCAGCACCUUGGGCCUGGGAGAGACUUUUAAAGAAUGAGUUGUUCCUCUUUUAGUGAGGGUUUAGAAGGGACCUGGAAGUAAGUGAAAGACCCAAGUAGCUCAGAGUUAAAAUUUAGUUGUCUCUCUCUACUCCUUUAUAAUACAAUCUUGACAAGUUUUCUCUUUUAGGAUAUGUUUUCUUAGAAGGAAUUAUGACAAAUACUGCAUGUAUCACUUAUAUGUGGAAUCUAAAAAAAAAAACAAAAACAAAUUUAUAGGAACAGAGUAGAAAAGUGGUUGGUUGCCAAGAACUGGGGGAAACAGGGAGAGAUGAGGAAAAGAAGACAAACUUUCAGCUAUAAGAUGAAUAAGGUCUGAGAAUCUAGUGUACAACAUGGUGACUAUAGUUGAUAACAUUGUAUUGUAUAAUUGAAAUUUGCUGACAGU